ACAAUUCAGCUGAGAAAUGAAUUGUGGACAUUGUGAAAUAUGUUGUAUUAAGUUCUUAUUGCUGUGGUUAGCUCCUCAAAGCUUGAUGGUGAGUGACCCAGCAGAGGAUGACAUCGGCAGUAAGGCCUUUUCUUUGGGAUGUGCCACCAGUAAUUCAGACUAUUUCAACAUGUGGCAAUCCUUAACCAGAUGUCACUCUGUGGCCAGACGAUCACUGCAGCAUUCUUAAGGACAUGCAUAGAGGCAAGCGAGUUGGUUUAUAA